rnacentral:lncRNA from 1 species
CAGCUUGGAGAAAGUUCUGGCCUCCCCAUGGGGAACGCCGUGCAAAGACUGCAGAGCCCCUCCUUGGCCAGGUGUUUUCUUGUGGGGAGCACAGGAAGGGGAUGCUCUCCCUCCUCCCCGAGAACACUGGAGAAACUGAAGGCGGGACGUUGUGGUUGGGCUAUGCCAGAUCGUCAACCACACUUAUGGACUCAGGAAUCGCAUUGUGUCCUCCUGCAUGUGUAUAUAGACAAGUACACACACAGAGAGAUGUGUGCACAUGCGCACACACACA